GGAGGGCCGGUGCCUUGCCUGCUGGCUUUCCGGAGCGUCCGGAAGGGAAGGGUUGUUUGGGGUUUUUUUAUUGUAGGUGCAAGGCGAAAGGGGAAAGCUGCGCAGCCUAAAAAAAGCAUCACGGCUUCCUCAGUUCCCAGUGGGACCGGUAACGGCAGCGGCAGUCCCUGGGGGCGGCGGGGAGGGGCUCCAGCCCCUUCCCAGGUGGUUCUGCGGGGGAAGCGGUUCCUCCCUCUGGAGGGCUGUGGCACUUCAGAGUUUUCAGAUGUCUAGAAAUUUUCCAAUGGAGCCACAUGUCCACAUAUGGCAAAUUUAAGCCAAGUGAGAAGAGUUUUAGUUACUGUUGUCAUAUGUUGGGCAUGAUCCAGAUAAAACAAUCCAUGGAUGACAGCUUAAAAUGCAACAGACAUUAGCAGCAUUAUCUCAGCUUUUGAGAAAUACACUGCAAGCCAAAAUCAACCAUCACAAGACAUGCCCCUACCUGCAUGUAAAGCUGCCCUGACUUUCCAUCAGGGCACAGAUCUGCAAGCUCAGAUCCAUCCUGACAGCCUGUACAUCAUAAAUGAUGUUUUAGCCCAGACUCCUCCAGUAACUAUUCACAAAUUAUUUUUUUCAUGAAGAAAGGAGAAAAAUCUUUUGUGGAACACUUCUUUCUGCAGUACAGGCAGGAAUAAAAAAGGAAAAGUCAAUUUUGAUGAACUCUGGCUAAGUGGUGUUUGCCCUGUUUCCUUCAGAGACAACAUGGGACACAUAUGACUUCUAUGAGCAAGGCACUAGGGUUUUUAUGAAGGCCCACUCCUCUCCUAGAAGUUGCAAGGUGUAACUAAGGAUAGGUUUGUGUAGGCUGCAAUUGCAGUGACAUACCUACAAUUGCUAAAGCAGCUGAUACUGCUAAUGAAAACUUAACCAUACAAUUACAGAAUACACUGAGUUGGAAGGGACCCACCCAGGAUCAUUAAGUCCAACUCUUGGGCCUGCACAGAACACCUCAAGAGUCACACCAUGUGCCUGAGAGCAUUGUCUGCACAUGACUGCACCAAGCUUCUUGAGCUUGGUGCUGUGACCACUUCCCUGGGGAGCCUGUUCCAGUGUUCAGCUGCCAUCUGGGUGAAAAAUCUUUUCCUGAGAUCCAACCUAAAACUCUUCUGACUCAGAUUCAUGCUGUUCCCUUGAAUCCUGAUGAGAGUGAAGAGACCAGUACCUGCCCCUCUACUUCUCCUCGUGAAGAUGUUGAAAAGCACAAUGAGAUAAUUUUAGAAUUCUACAGUAAGCAUUCAAAGAAAGCAGAAAGAUCAGACUGUUUACAAGCAUAUUACACUAUUCCACUUCAACAGCUGAGGUACAUGGGGGAUAACUGAUG